UGUUGCGUCUAAUGAGAAAUAUUCAUUUUAUUCUCAUACUCUACAGCGUUUCCCUGUAUAACCAAAUGUUUUAGGGUCACUACUAUUUUCUGCCUUCCCUAUCACUAAUUUUUAUGUUUAUUCUAUCAUCAAAUGGGUCUUGAACCCUUUGCUAUUUUUUUUGACAUGUUUUGUUUGACUGUGAAUUCGGGUAUGAAAUCUUUUAAGUUGUUAGAAAUAAAAUUUACAUAUUUGAAAACUAGUAAACUAACAAUAAAAUUAGUUUGAACCUUGAAAUUUGGAAGGUGCCACGUUAAUUUGGACGGAGGGAGUAUAUGUUAUGGCUAAUUUCUUAAUGAUAUCUAUGACUUCAUGGAUGUGCCCAAAAAAUGUGAUGGAAAAUGUUUUACCUUCGAGAAUUAUUCCUUUUUGCUUUUCUGAAUCAAUCUUUUGAUGUUGGUUAAUAUUUAGUUUGUCGUUUACAACUUGUUUGGAUGGUUGUUACCUAUUGUAUUUUACUGUGUUGUUCGUUUAAAUACGAUGCUUGUUUUAUUGAAGCGGUAACAACAUAAAAUCGAUUUGGCCUGAUCGUGUUGUUACCUUAUUAUUUUACCUUACCUUUUCAUAAUAGCUUGUCCUCUUACGGUCGUACCCUACUUUUCUUGUAGGUUUAUCCUUCAAAUUUAUGAAAAGAUAUAUAACAACCAUCCAAACAAGGUGUAAGGGUGGUGUGAGGUUGUAGUAGUAGAAUAUGAGAAAUUGCUCAAUGAGGUAUAGGAUAGUAGUGAGUAGCAAAAAUUUAUUAUUGAGUUGGAUUUAAAUAUACUUGUAAAAGAAAAUGAAUUACACCCUAAAGGACAUAGAAAUACAACUUUUGACACUUUAGAGGAAUCAACUGCUGAGAAAUGAUUCAUUAAGCAAAAACAUUGUAGGUAAUACCAAAACAUUGAUUUUUCUGAAUUUGUUGAGUUUAUGUCAAAGUUUGUAUCAAUUUCGGGGUGUCUAGGAAACAAAGAUUGCUGUCUUUACUCUGUUAUAAGUCUUUUUUCGUGUAUGAGAUCCUAGGGGCAGCAGUGUUAAAUACUUACGGUGACUAUUUAGCAAUAUCCCAUUGAAAUGCCACUGAUAGACCAAUUUUCUUUCCCUUCCUAAUGAUUUGGUUAUAAGGAAGCACCUUGGUAGAAGUACAAUAGUAUGUUUUAUGCCCAAAGCAAGAUUUUCGGAAUUAUGGUUAGGCAGAGAAGAGUUGAUUUUAAGGACUGGUUUCUACAGUCUGGUAGGGUACCGUUUUUGGACAUUUUAAAUUGUAACUUUGCUGUUUUUAGACUGUCAAAUGUAUGAUUAGUCAGAGUAUGGAACUUUGGCUUCUCUGUUGGUACAAAGGAUGACCGGAAAAUGGCAUGAGAGAGUGCAUUAUAGUCCCAAAUAUUUUGCACUUUUGGGUGAAGGAAACAAAACAAGUCUGAUCAACAAAACUAGUGGCAGAAUUUUAUGACCUGUGAUUAUAAUUGUUACAGAUACUAUGUUUAAAGCUCUAAAAUUAUAACUCUUAUUAUUUGUAUAGCAAGUAGCAACAGUAUCAGCAAUUUAAUGGUUUUCCAAAUUGUACCCUGAUUCAUUUUUUGUUGAAAGAAGUUCAGUAACCAAUUGAGAGCACAAUUUGCAAUUCGUGUUUCUCAUCGAUAUAAAAUUUUCUUACACUUUUCCUUCUUGUCUCAGAAAAGAAGUGAUUGUUUUGUGUGGAUCGUUAUGUGUGUUCAGUAAAGGAAGAAUCUAGCAGCACGCGGGAUCAUAUUUGUGGAAACACGAGAUAGUAUGUUUUGACUGAUCGACAUGGUCGUUAUACCUGCCUCUGGAAAGAACCAGACGAAAGGGAAAAAUAUCUUCAACAAACAUUUAUAAAGAAAGGCUUUACAUGCAGAAAAAGUGUCACUAGCUGAAUAGUCUUUGGACAUCUUUUGGACUAUAAUUAGUAACCCCUGUAUAGCAUCUACUUGGAAAGUGUAGCAACAGAAAAGUUUCGCAGGCCCUGGAAUCCUAUUUUGUCAUUGAUGAUAGUGAUGCACACGAAGUGGCGACGUCUUUUUCGCUUUAUGCGUUCCUGAGGUGACUUUUCAGCAGAGACAUCCAUCACUUUUGAAAAUGUCUCUGAAUGCUAGAUUACCUUAAUAAUCCUCCAUAGCAGGCAUCCCGUAUUCAACCGCAGGAGAUUGAUGAAAUUAAGCGACUAUUGGACGUAGUGUAUAAAAGUUAUGAUUUACCUUAUGCUCAGACAUGGAUACCUUGUAAAUACCUAAAUUUUGUUGCAAGUAAAGCCAGCAGCGAUGCCAAAUUUAAUGCAGGAUAUAGUGAAGAAGUCAUUUUGAUUACUGAUGGACCUUGGUAUGCUUCAGAUGAUCACCAAGCUGAUUUUCUAUUAAAUUUUGGCAUGGCAUGUGAUUCUCAUUAUUUUCGAAGUGGGAGAGGUGUUGUGGGGAGGGUAUUUUCAUCUCGUUGGGCAAGCUUCUGUGACAACGUAUCCAGAUUCAGCACAAGCGAGUUUCCGGUGACACCCCGUGCACAUUUAUAGGGUUGACCGAUUGUUUUGCUAAUUAUUUGCGAAGUACCAAUGCUGGAAACAGUGAAUACAUACUCGAAUUCUAUUUGUCCUACUGCAGAAAGGAUGAUAAAGUGGAGCAAAAGCUAUUGGACUCCAUAUUAGUGAUAAUGAGGGAGCAUUCUUCAACCUUCAAGGUUGGUUCAGGAGAAGAAAUCAGAGACGAGUUAUCAGUUGAAGCAUACUCUCUGUGCCUCAGAAAAGUGAUUAUCUUCAUGGGCCACUAGCAACUAGUACUCCAUCUUGGACUGGGAAUGCUGGGACUGGAUGUUAGCCAAUGUAGCAGCAUCUCUUUGGAAGUACUGACCUUGUGCCAAAUGGCAGUAAUCUUCUUAACAUGGAAAAAGGCGUAAUAUAGUUUGAACGAAUUAUCUACUGUGACCUCUGACAAAGCAGAUGGGAGAACUAAUUUUUUGAUCACUUACAAGGAUCUGAAGCAAAAGUUCGGCUUCAAACUUGAAGAUGCGGCAGAGAAACUUGAUGAAGUUAGCCGAUCUACACUGAAGCGAAUAUGCAGACAGUACAAUAUACCGAAAUGACCAUCUUAUAUGAUGGUAAAGGUGGAUCACUCCCCUGGGGAACCUUGUAAGAGUCAUUUGACAUCUUCCAAACCCACUCCUAAGCAAGACGUAGUUCCACUUUGUAGUGAAAAGCACAUACUACAGUAAAGGCUUAAUAUAAAGAAGACAUUUGAUUUCAUUGAUAGUCGCUCAAUUUUCACUUUAUUGCAAUAAAAUCACUAACUAUCCUUUGUUCACGGAAAAAUCAAUCUAUUUACCCUUAUUACUAGACUUUUUUCUUUAACACAAAGGUCACUCAACUUUGUCUAAGUAUCACAGAAAGUCAUUGGAAGCAGCAGACAAAAGAAACUUUUUAUAUUGAAUGACUUUUUUGGUUUCAACAAAAUUGUUUAGUGACUUGAUGUGAUACUUAGGCCAAAGUUGAAUAAUUUAUUUGUUACAAAAAACAGUCUGACUUUAUGUGAUACUUCGACGAAGUUGAGUGAUUUUUAUGAUGCAAAAGCCAAAAAGUAGUUUUGUGACUUUGGUGCAUAAAAUAAAAGAUGAGUGACCAUUUGUGAAAUUACCCCUAAAGUUGCAUGCACAUCCUCAUCAAGAUUGACAGAUUUGCUGGAAGAAGUAACAAAAAGGCUCAAAUUAAAGAGUGGAAGGUUCAUGCUUAAGUAUUCAGAUGAAGAUGGUGAAUGGAUUCUCAUAGCCUGUAGCAGAGAUCUAGGAAAUUAUAUUGCUGCUGUAAGAUUUUGGAAAAAGCUGCCAUCACCAUCUCAAUUCAACCAAUUGGGCACUGGAAGCCUUUGUGCCAAUUGCAGUUCUGGAUUUUGGAAGAGGAUUUCCUAAUAGAUGAAUCCCAAUUAAAAGAUAUGGUGUAAUUAGAGACGUUAAUUCUUAGACAAUACUUAGGCAUAUGGGAAGAAAUUAUUUAAGCGUACUUUGCCUCUACUAGUAUUUGAACCCUGAAUCCUAUUCUAUCAUGAUUUUUAUUCUACU